UCAGAUUAUUUUACCACAAUCUACCAUUCAAGCCUGUCAAUGGGAGGAAAAGUGUCAGUGAAGUGACCCACCAGGAGCACCAAGGCAGGAGAUCCCUGGUGUAGGACCAUGUGUACCACUAUGAUGGUCCUAACCAGCAUUGCACUCAUCCUGCGGCAGAUGUUCUCCAACAAAGUCCAACCUCAGAAAGAGACGACUGAGAAAGCCAUGCCAAACAUGAACAGCGGAGGAGUGGCAGAAAUCCCAAAACAGCAACAGUGAGCAUAACUUGUUGCCGAAGAGAUUUACCUCCGUGGACAUGAAAGGAGAGAUUUCCCGACAUAGUUUUGUUGUGUUUUCUCAUUGAUCUGAUAUUGAUUCAUGUGCACUUAAGCAGCUUAAGUCAAGACUCUCACACCAGAGGUGAAAAAAAGUGGGCCAGAAAAACAGUGAGGCCCCACAGAUGCUCUCACUGCUGGAACAAGCAAACUAAACAAACAUACUUGGUUGGCAAAUUCCAGCUUGGGUGAUCAUCAUGAUGACACAGCACUAGCUGUUUUGAGUUUACUACUUAAGCUAUAUUGUCAUUGCUUAAGAACCAUAUUGUGAACUGCAUGUUCUGUGCCUCCUCUUUUUUUCAAAAAAAAAAAACAGCCACAGUUUCUGUUUUUUUGUUUUGUUGAUAUGUUUUUCUUAAAUUGACAAAUGUUUUAGGGUAAGUUUGAGGACAGCUUUGAAUUGAUGUAGGGUACCUUGUCAUAUGUUGUCAUGUCUUAUUGUCCUCAGAGGGGAAGGUUAUUGACCAAAUGAAGCAGUGAAAUGCAUAACCAUGUCUUCAAAUGUAAUACAGAACUUCCUUCAUUCAUUCACAGUAUGAGUAUUCUGAUUAUUCAUUGAUACGAACAUUAAUAAAUGUACUAAUGAAUGAACAAGUCAGAUGAACAUUAUUGUAUUACAAUUACAGCAGAAAAACAUGUAUUUUUCACCACAAAUGUGUUGUUACCUGCCCCCAACAUAUCAGCUCACCUGGAAGUAAAUAAAAUACUUCUAUGUAGAGACUUUUACUGGAAUUAUCGGCCUUUGUUAUGUGAUACGACGUUUACG